UCAAACUUGGUCAUUUAGAGGAAGUAAAAGUCGUAACAAGGUCUCCGUUGGUGAACCAGCGGAGGGAUCAUUACCGAGUUUACAACUCCCAAACCCUUUGUGAACCUUACCUACGUUUCUUCGGCGGGCCGGCCCAGGCCACCCGCCUAGGGCCAGAAACUCUUGUUUUAUUCAGUGGUAUUCUCUCUGAGUGGCACAAGCAAAUAAAAUUAAAACUUUCAACAACGGAUCUCUUGGUUCUGGCAUCGAUGAAGAACGCAGC
rnacentral:misc_RNA from 1 species